GCUUCUUGCUUGUCUUGUGUGUCAUGCGCUGUUCGGCUCUUCGUUUCUGGUUUUGGGUUCGGGCCAAAAUGGGUUCCCAGGGAAUGAUCUUUCUUGCUCGGUGUUGCGACGUUCUCGAAGAUGGGAGUGAUGAAGCAAAAUUAUCGAUUUCGGCUUUCUGUGCAGUGGGUUUAGGAUUUUGCAUGUGCUGUGCUGUGCUUACUCUUACUCUUGGCUGUCUUCAUGUUCACUAACUUUAUGUCAUCUAGUGUAUUGAGAGAUAGACGAGGGGUUUUAGUAUUCUUUUGAACUUUACUUUCUGGAGUGAAAUUUUGUCUACUUGCAACAUUCUAAUCUACUAGCAACUAUUCUCCAUUAUGACUUUUCAAGCUAAACAGCAAUGUCUACCGAUCUAUAACUAAAUAUGAGCAGUGAAUUUUUUAUUUUCAGCACUGGGUAAAUGGUACAGUUCUAGCGAAAACAUUGUCUUAGGUAUCAUGCUUUGUUUAACUAGCUGCGGGUUUCGUGGCUUUCAAGAUCACUUGAUAAGUAUCCACUUGUUUUUUGAGUCCCAUGCUUCGCGUGUGAAUCCUUUGGUAAUCUGAGUUCUCAUGAGUUUUCAUGGCUUUUAGUUUUCCUUUUUGCUUCCAUAGUAAUCGAUUCUGUUGUGCAGCCACACAAAAAUGCCAGACAUUGACUUGGGAUCUCACAC
rnacentral:lncRNA from 1 species